rnacentral:rRNA from 1 species
UACAGAGGAUGCAAGCGUUAUCCGGAAUGAUUGGGCGUAAAGCGUCUGUAGGUGGCUUUUUAAGUCCGCCGUCAAAUCCCAGGGCUCAACUCUGGACAGGCGGUGGAAACUACCAAGCUGGAGUACGGUAGGGGCAGAGGGAAUUUCCGGUGGAGCGGUGAAAUGCGUAGAGAUCGGAAGGAACGCCGGUGGCGAAAGCGACUUGCUGGGUUUCUCCUGACGCUGAGGAACGAAAGCUAGGGGAGCAAACGGG